UGCGAGAUCCUUUUGGUCUGCCCUGGUGACAACUCCCUGCUCAGAUCCUUAAUCCCAUGGAGGAGAUGGGGCGUGGCCUGGUUGUGGGAUUGGAGGCUGGAUGUGAAGCUACAGUGGCAGCUGUAAGGACAAAGCUCUUCAGGUACUGCCUGGCUAUCUUCAUCUGUGCAAAGACAAUUAGCCAAGUGUUGGUCAGCAGUGGAGAGAAGAGAGGGGAAGAACAAGAUCCCACCCAGGACGAAGACAAGAAGCAUGCUGGAGAAGGUCACAAAGAUCCGGAUACAGUCGGAGCUGCACAGAGGUCUUUGGGCUGUGACAGCAAGAGUACCCCGAGAGGCUUUGAAGGAGCAGCUAAGCCUGGACCCCUCAGCCUGCCCUUUUCCUGAGUCACCCUCCCCUGUCAGACCAGUCCCCUCCCCUAAUCUCUAAUGUGAUUCUGCUCCCCCCUCCUUUGCCUCUAGCUCUGUCUGUCUGUCUGUCUGUCUGUCUGUCUGUCUGUCUGUCUGUCUGUCUUCCUCCUUUUGUGCUUAGUGAGUGUAUGUGUGAGUUCAGGCAGAGCCUAGCUUAGUCCUCUCUGACCUAGAAGCUUGAUUGUUUUAGCUGCGCUGGCCCUGUCUCUGCCUCUGAAUGUUAGGGCUACAGAUCCACGCUUCCAUACUCAGUUUUUUCCUCUGGCUCUGGGUAUUACGUCACACUUGCACAGCACGCACAGUUCCACUGAACUUUCUCCCUCACCCAGGGCCUAGGGGUUUCCUGUGGCUGUUCUUCUGCCCUCUUUCCUCCCUGCUCUCUCUGGGGUGGGGAUUAGGAGGACCACUCACAUGGCAGGCGGCUAUAGACAGUUGAGUCGGGAAGCUGCCUUUGUGGGGGCCAGGAUGGCUUCUCUGGAAGAAACAGACAGAUGAAUCACAGCAGGAAGCCUCUCAGGAUGACCCGGGUGGAAAGCUUGUGAUUUUGCAGGAGUCAGACAGAAGGAAGACAAGCUGGCCCAGAACCUAGCUGGGGGUAAAUGCAGGGUGGGCAGUGCCAGGCUGGCAGCUUUCUGGCCCCCAUGAGACUGGAUAAGGAGCAGCCUGCUACGUACCUGUGGCAUAAGCCCUUGGAACAGGUGCACUCAGCAUUGGCAGUGACCGUGCAGUUGCGGAUGAGAAAACCUUGGGAGAGAGGAGAGCCAGGAGAACAGGAUACCACAGGUCUUAGGGACACGAGGUGUCUAUUGCCCGACCCUCUCCUGAGGCCCCUGAGACUCACGGGGUAUGAAUGUUUUCCAAUCCUAGCACCUUACCUAUUUCCCCUCUGCCCCUCCCUUGAUGCUGCCUUUCCUUCCCUCGCUGCCACCUGCCCCUCCCCCACUGCCAUCUGCCCCUCCCCCUGCCAUCUGCCCCUCCCCCACUGCCAUCUGCCCCUCUUCUGAUGCCACCCGCUACCUUUCCCAGGCUCAGAAACAGAAACAGAAAGUAGAAGACUGUAUGAUUUUGUUUUCUACUCACUGCCACUUUAAAGCUUUUUCUUGGCACAUCACAUACUACCCACCUCCUCAAGACAGGGUUUCUCUGUUUAACAGUCCUGGCUGUCCUGGAACUCACUCUGUAGAUCAGGUUGGCCUCGAACUCAGAGACCUGCUUGCCUCUGCUUCCCGAAUGAUGGGAUUAAAGGUGUGCACCACCACACCUGGCCUUACUUAUAUGAAACUUUUAACACUUGAAAAAUAAUUCAAUUCGGUUUAGGCACUGGGUAAUAUUUCUGCUGGACUUAGCUGGAAGUCCCACACAACAAGGCCUUUGUUGUUAGGUGUUUGCCUCAGCCUAAUCACUGGGAUGGUCCUGUUACUAGAGCUUACUAGCCAGCUGCCUCCACAUUCCAGAACAUACAUAUUCCCUAUAAAUGUUGUUAAAGUCAGUUUCUACUUUAUAUAUAUAUGUGUGUGUAUAUAUAUAUGUGUGUGUAUAUAUAUGUAUGUGUGUAUAUGUGUGUAUAUAUAUGUGUGUGUAUAUGUGAGUGUAUAUAUGUGUGUGUAUAUGUGAGUGUGUAUUUAUGUGUGUAUGUGUAUAUAUAUGUGUAUAUAUGUGUGUGUGUAUGUGUAUAUAUGUGUGUAUAUAUAUGCGUGUGUGUAUAUAUAUGUGUGUAUAUGUGUGUAUAUAUAUGUGUGUGUGUAUAUAUGUGUGUGUAUGUAUAUAUGUGUGUGUAUAUGUAUGUGUGUAUAUAUGUGUUUGUAUCUGUGUAUAUAUAUGUGUGUAUAUAUGUAUAUGUGUGUAUAUAUAUAUGUAUAUGUAUGUGUGUAUAUAUGUGUGUAUAUGUGUGUAUGUGUGUGUAUAUAUGUGUAUGUAUGUGUGUAUAUAUGUGUGUGUAUAUAUAUAUACAAUAUAUAUCUCAACAGCAGUUAAAGAGUUCUUUUUUUUUUUACACACAAAAAAGUGUCUCACCAGCAACCAUUAUUUCAAAGAGGCCUCUUUAAAUCAUGUUAUUCUUGUGUCCGAUAACGCAGGCCCCCUGAACCCUAGCAUAGGUGGAGAAUCGACAGGGGAGUCUGAAAAGAGGCUGCAGAUAUCCUACCUCCUCAUUUGCAGAUAGCGGAAAUGUAUACAUUAAGAGAAAUGACAGAUCUAGUUGCUUCUCCCGCAAAAAGGCCUUGGCUUAAAAAGGUUGCCCUGCCUGGCUUCUGGGAUUGUUAUUCCCCAACUCCAGACUCUGAAGAGCCGACCUGCAAAUGCGCGCCGUGGGAACACAGGCUGUCCACUGGCUGGAAGCUGCUUCUCUGAAACCCUGGUUUCUGGAACUACCGCGCCCCUCUCCCGCACUAUGCUUUCUUUUUUUUUUUUUUUUUUUUUUUUUUGUUCUUUUUUUCGGAGCUGGGCGCACUAUGCUUUCUAAAUUGUAUUUUUUUCCAUUUUUUUUGUGUGUUCACGGACACAUUCGAUUUCAGAGGACACCUUGCCAGUUGAUUCUUCCCUCCUACCAUGUGGCAAGGCUUGGCGAGGACCGUAAACCCCUGUGAAUCUCUUUGGCUUUGCCUUUCUUUUUCUUCUGUGAGACAGGGUCUUGCUAUGUUGUUCAGCCUGGCCUUGAAUUCCUGUGACCAAGUGAUCCUCCUGCCUCAGCCUGCUUCGUAGUUGGGAUUACGGACAUUCACGAAUGCACGCCCCCCCUCAUCCUUUUGUUGUCUCAGUCCUAGCCAUAGAGUCCUUCUCACCCAUCCCUCAAAUUCCGCUUAUCUUCCAUGAAACCCUGGAUCUCUUCCCACGUUCCCCGCCCACGGCACACCGUGUUUCGACAUGAGCCCCACUUCCCGGGAGCCUUGCAGUAGCUGCAUCUCUGACCCCACAGCCAGACCCAUGCCUCCCUAGACUCUCUCAGUGCCACCUUCCGCACACACUGCCCUCUCACCAGAGUUACAGUGCCUGCAGCUCUCGCAGUGGGGCCGGGUGUGGUAGUCUGGAGAGAAGGACGUGCCUGGAAUACACGGAUCACACUGAGCAGCGGCUCUGUCCUGGUCACAGUGCUUCACAAGGAAUGUCCCUGUGUACAGAGGGUCCAGAGUCAAAGUCCAGGCAAGGUGAUGCCUCUGGGCUCUGCAGGCUGCCUGGCUUUGCUUGAGCUCAGCCUUACCCCAAGCGCCUCCCUCGUCUUAAACAGCACCCCCUCCCCAGCUCUGCCCAGGCCCACUCUUACCUGGCCCACACAUCUGGCAGCAGAGUCCUGCCCCAAUCCAGUAGUGUCUGUCUGGACAGUUGUUUGGGGCUGGGGUAGCUAAGAGCCCUACCAAGGUCCCCAGCAUGCAGAGCCAGUAGAGGGGUGGCCAUGCCAUGGCUCCUGCUCAGGGAGAGCUUCUCUGAGCCCCAACUGCUGGUACGGAGUCACCGGUGUCUCCGAUAGGCUCUGGGCAGCAGCCACCGCGCCUCCGCUCGGGUGGUAAACCGACCUUUGAAGGCAGUUGUAACUGUUUUGGUUUUUUUUUUCCCCUCUCUCUUUCUCUCAGCAGCCUCCACCCCCUUCUCUUUUCCGUACUCUGGAGAGACUGUGAAGGGCAAAGCCUGCUGUGCUGCGCUUCACAGACAUGUGCCCUCCCUGGGCACCUCUCUCCGUAGUGAAGCCAGGGUCUGACCAUUCCCGCAUGCUGCUUUUACCAGAUAGGCCGCUGCACACCCACAGCUGUCUGUCCUGCUGACAGGGAUGGGCACUGGACGCCCUCACCUGUCCCUGGCAUGUGUCCUCGCUCACAGCCCAGCCCUUUCAGAGGUGACCGGAAAGGAGCAGACUGCAGACUAUUCCUGAAGUUCCUAGGGUCAGCUUAGUUUUAGAAUCAUGGCAUUUUCAGGUUCUGCCUAAAACUAGCACCACAAAACACCCCACUAAAGGUGGGGUAGCGCGGUUGAGCACAGCACUUUGGAAGCCUAUCUUAUAUAUCCCAGGGUAGCUUCAAGUUUGCUUUGCAGCUGUGGAUGACUCUUCUGAUCUUUCUGCCUCUCUCCCUCUCCUGAGUGUUCCUGCUGUUACAGGGUGUGUCCCCAUGCCAUGGCUGCUGCUAUAGGGCUGUGCUGCCACCUUGCAUUUAUGUGGUGCUGGGGACUGAACCCAGGGCUUUUUUGCAUCCUGGAAAAUACUACCACCUAAGCUAUACCAGCUUGGACACAACACACAGGCAGCAAAGCUAUUGCACGUGCAGAGAGUAGUCAUGACAACCAGCCUUACAUAACUGAGGUUUGGUUUUCUGGCCACAGAAGCCCUUCCAGCAUUGCAUAUAAUUGAGGGCAAGAGUUAGCCCUGUGUCCCCUGUGUCCUUUUCUGGUUCUGCGAUAUCACCUGCAAUUCCCUUUAAUCCGUGUGUGUGUGUGUGUGUGUGUGUGUGUGUGUGUGUGUGCGUGCGCACGUGCGUGUAGGUACUCAUGCAUAUGGAGGUCAGAGGUCAGCCUUGGUUCUUGGUUUAAUUCCUCAAGCACAUCUAUGGUGAUGAUGAUGAAGAAGAAGAAAAAGAAGAUGAAGAUAUAUUAUUUCUCCCUGGCCUGGAACUUGCCUAGUAGAGGAAGCUGAAUGACCAGCAAACUCUGGGAUCCUUCAGGAAAGACAAACAAACAAACAAAAGCAACCCCCAAACCAUAGGUUUUGGCGAUCAGACUCAGGCCCUUGCACUUUCUGACAGAGCUAUCACUCCAGCCUGGCUUCUUUUCUUCAUAAUGCCAGCCUGUGACACAGAUAUGACCCCACUGCCUGUGGGAACAUUUGUCAACUUUCCUUCUUGACCUAAUCCCGUUUUUGUCCGUCCUUCUUGCUUCUGGCUGGCUCAGUCACUAAGUGUCUUCAGGUACCUAACCCAUCUCACUUCACGGCCCUGGGCACGUGGGAUUGAAAGUGGGCGCCUUGGGCUGGAGAGAUGGCUCAGUGGUUAAGAGCACCGACUGCUCUUCCCAAGGUCCUGAGUUCAAAUCCCAGCAACAACAUGGUGGCUCACAACCAUCUGAAAUGAGUCUGAUGCCCUCUUCUGGUGUGUCUGAAGAUAGCGACAAUGUAAUCAUAAUAUAUAAUAAAUAAAAUAUUAAAAAAAAAAAGAAAGUGGGCGCCUCCAUGUGCCAUCUUUAGCCUCCUGCUCCUUUGGGAAUUCUGAUUUGAGGAUGCUGGAGUUGCUGCUCUGGAGGAGCACUGGCCGUUGAACCCCCUCCACUCUUUCCCCGCUGACUUAUUUCAAGGACAUGUCUCAUUUGGGGGCUUCGCGGUUGUUUCCACAGUGCUGGUGAAAUGUCACAGCCCUGUGGUCGCACCUGGGGGUUGUUAGAUCUCUUCUCUCUAUCUCAUACUUCAGCUUCCUGUCUCUUCAUUUUUUCCGCCCUCCUCCCUUUCCCCAGCCCCCACUACAGCUCUUCAAGGGUCCACACAAGCCUGGAGCUAUAGUACGUUAUGUUCAAAGGAAACCACCCUCCACCACACGCCCAGAAGAGACAAUGACAACUUUAGAACUGAAGGAAUUUCCUUCCUUAUUCCAAGGUUCCAACAUCUUCACCGUUAGUCGUUAAGACAGCAGUGAGAGGGGUGGGGAGCCGAUGGCUGGCCCUAUAGGAAUGGAUGGUUACCCUGACAUUUAAGAACUUUAGAAAGAAAGUUGUUACAAGGGGGCUUUGAGUGCACAGAGAACUUAACAUCUCGACCAGACCAUGAGUUGUGUACUCACCUAAUAUUCUACCUCUAGGGUCAAAACCUGUCUUCCUCCACACGGGUCAGAGGAGGGUCAGGGCCUGCCUGACUCUCCUGGAGUAACGCUGAUGUUAUGUGGUGAAUAUUGUGGUGGUUUGAAUAGAUUUGGGCCCCAUAGACUCCCAUGCUUGAAUGCUUGUCCCAGGGAGUAGCACUAUUAGGAGGUGUGCCUUGUUGGAGUAGGUGUGGCCUUGUUGGAGUAUAUAUGGCCUUCCGGGAGGAUGUGCCUCACUGUGGCGGUGGAAUCCUUCUAUGCCCAGGCUCUGCCCAGUGUGGAUGGUAGUCUUGUUCUGGCUGCCUUAGGAUCAAGAUGUAGAACUCUCAUAUCCUCCAGCAUCAUGCCUACCUGGAUGCUACCAUGCUUCCUGCCAUGAUGAUAAUGGGCUGAACCUCUGAACCUAUAAGCCAGCCCCAACUAAAUGACACCUGGUCAUGGUGUCUCUUCACAGCAAUGAAAACCCUAACGAAGACAGAUAUGAAGUGUACCACAAAGGGCUCAUAGCCGGAGCAGCGGCGCUCUGGGCAGGUAAGCUAGCUUCAUCUGUGAAGAACUCCCUUGGUGACUUCAUGGCUAAAUAGGAAGUUGGGCCAAGUUAGAAUUAGUGGCGUGCGCAGAUCAAGCUUUUGAAUGGUGUGUCUUAUCCUCAUGCCCUUCCUUCCCCUCUCUGUCUCCCUCUGCAUCUCCCUCUACUUUCCAGCUGCCGGGAAGUGAGAGGACUCUGUCACGCCCUUUCGCCAUACAGUUCUGCUUCGCUACAGGCCCACAAGCAAGAGGUCAGCACCAGUCGGUCAGAGGUUGACAUCUCCGAGACUGUGAACCAAAAACUAACUCCUUUCUCCUUUGAAGUCGUCUUCUCAAGCAUGUUGCCGUAACCAUGACAACCAACACAUCAUCUUUCAUAGUCUCUUUACAUUAUAAAAUUGGAACUCUUAAGCUGGACAUGAUCAUGAAUGUCUGCCUGUAGUUCUCAGUCCCCAGGAGCUUGAGUGGGAGGGUCGUUUAAGUCCAGGAGUUUUACACCAUCCCCACCAAAACAGUGAGACCUCCCUCCCUCACACACAUGAACAAACUAUAUAACCCCAAACUCCAUAUCCACUAACCACCGACAGCCCAGGUCCCCUCUCGUUAGCCUUUCACAUAUUUACUGGUAUCUGUGCUGCUUCUCUGAAGAAACGUUUAUUAAGUCUUUUGUUCAUGUUUUAAUCACCUUCAUUUUAGUUACUGUUUCAGAUACUAAUCUCUUAUUAGAAAUAUGUUUUUGAAAAUAUUUUAAAAUAAUUUUAAAGGGUUUACUUAUUUUAUGUGUAUGAAUUUCUUUUUCUCCUGUCCUGGUAGGAAUGAAGAUAUCCUUUGGCUACAGAGAGGACUGCAGAAGUGGUCCCCCAAGAAACUGGAAUUUCCCCAGGAAUCUCAUGCUGGGAGAAAGAAAAGGCUGAAGCUAUGCCAGCCCCGAGGACUGGAGGACUGCUGCGUUCUUUCCAUCCACAGAACUAAACACAUUAGAUGGAAAAGGGUUUCUCAGUAGCCCUGACUGUCAAAGAACUCACCCUGUAGACCAGGCUGGCCUCGGACCCAUCAAUCCACCCACAUGCCGCUGCCACCUGAAUGCAUGGGAUUAAUGACACGAACAACUCCACUGGGCGUAUUCAGAUGAUCUCAAGUGGAAAUAGAAGAACAAAAGAGGUGGCCACAAGAAGACGUCAUUGCUGAUUUGGAAGCCGAAAGAUGAGGGUAUGAGCUGGGGGCUGAGGUCAGGCUCUCACCGGCGCUAGGCAAGUGUUCUACCCUUGAGCUACAUCCCUAGCUGAGGCGGGGACUGAAGCAGAGAUCACAGGGGAACAGCACUUACUGGCAUGCUCUCUAUACAACCCAGAACCAUCCCUCUAGCGACGGCACUGCCCACACUGGGUUAUGUUUUCAGCAAUGGUGUCUUAACUAACUUAACUUAACUAACUGUGGUGAACGCCAGGAGCAAUGGCAACAACACGUGCUGUUUCAAGGGCCUCUGGGAAGACAGUUUGUUUUUGUUUUUCCAUUUAGAAAGCACAUGGAGGCAGACAAAUGGCUUUGCUGAACUUCUGAAUUGUUGUAUAGGUUCUUGUUCUUUUGUUUAGUUUUCCCUUAAGCUUUCUACUUGUAUUUAGGAGGAUAUAUUUUCUAGUUUCCUGUCUGGCAGCUCUCAAGGUUUUCUUUCUCAGACUCCGGGUAAACGAAGCCCUGGACCAUGCUUGCUGACGGCGCCUUGGCAACUGCCUCUGGGUUCAGUGCUGCCCAUGGCCUCGGUACUUGACAUUCCUCUCUGAUGGCCGUGCACCACCACACCUUGUUUAUACAGUGCUAAGUGUGAAACCUCACAUCAGUCUGGGAGAGGUGGCACAGGCCUUUAAUCCCAGCACUUGGAAGGCAGAGGCAGGCAGAUCUCUUGAGUUCAAGGCCAGCCUGGUCUACAAAGCGAGUUCCAGGGCAGCCAGGGCUACACAGAGAAACCCUGUGUCAAAAGACAAAACUAAACAACAAACCCUCCAAUAAAACAAACAAAUAAACCUUAGCACUGAAUCCAGAGAACAAUCUAUUAACUGAGCUACACAUCCAUCCUUUAGCCCAUUCCUUUCUGGAGAGCUGAACCCCUAUGUGAAAGAACCUGGUGCAGUGUUUCAGGUGUUUGUUGUGGGAACUGAGGUCACAUCCUUUGGGUGCCUCCUUUGUGGUUUUCUUUCUCUCUCUGUUUUCGUCUUAGGGCCUGUUAACAUUCAGGAUCGCAUGUGACCACAGUGUAGAGAGGUAAUUCUCAUACGAAGUUCAGCUAACUUAGGAAAUCAGACAUCAUGGGAAUUGGUGCCUGCUUUAAUGCUAAAUCCUGAGGGUUUGAGUCUGGGAAGGUCAACCCUGUAAAACAAAUCUUCAAAGUCGCCAGGCAAGGGACCACAGAAUGAGGGGAAGGUGUGGCUGUCAUUGAGGAGUGCUCCUGGGACCCUGAAGCCCCUGCAUAGGACUAUCCUGGGGUUCAGAAUCAGAUAGGUGAAUGCUGCGAAAGCUUCCACACUGUUCAUGACCUGAAUCAUCUCUGCCGUAUCCCAGAGCCCUUGCAGUUGAGUCUUCCUCUGACUGGGGAUAAUGUCUGCACACCAAGGGUGAUUGCACAAGUGAAGUUCCUUUUCUUGUGUGAUGGUUGGAAUAGGUUUGGCCCUACAGACUCCUGUGUGAAUCGUUGGCCUUAGGGUGUGGCACUGAUAGGAGGUGUGGCCUUGUUGGAGUAGGUGUGGCCUUGUUGAAGUGGGUGUGGCCUUGUUGGAGUAGGUGUGGCCUUGUUGGAGUAGGUGUGGCCUUGGAGUAGGUAAGUGUGUCACUGUGGAGGUGGGUUUUAAGGUCUCCUAGGCUCAAGCUAUACCAAUGUGGCAGUCUCCUCCUGCUGCCUGCUGAUAGGCUCCUUCUCCAGCACCAUGUCUGCCUGCAGGCCACCAUGCUUCCCACUCUGAUGAUAACGGUCUGUAUCUUCGGACUGUCAGCCAGCCCCAGUUAAAAGUUUUUCUUUAUAAGAGUCAUUUUGAGCUGAGCAUGGCAGCAGAGCUGGCUCACGGUGCUUCACAGAUGCAGCCUUCAGGCCCUGUGUGCCGCUCUCUUCCUCUCUCACAAUGAAGAAAAGGGAUCUGCAGGAGGGGUAGGGCUGCCUCUCUCACCGAGCCUCAGGGCUUCCCUACUCACUCCUGUGUCUGAGUGAUUGCUCUCCUAACAGAGCAACACACAGCAGGCCUAGCCUUGACCCUGCCUCCCCCCAGAGACUGGAGUUCUGUAGGCCCUGCCAGCUACCUCAUACCUCCACUUCCCCCUCUGCCUGUGAGUGUCAUCCGAAGCAGGGCUAAACGGCAAAGAGCCGGUCUGUGCGGCCAAAGCCAGAUUGUUCUGUUUUCAGGAACGUUACAAUGACGUGCUGUGGCAUCAAACUGACAAACUGGCCAUGGCAGGAUGUUUGUGACAGACAGUGUAAAUCAGCAAAUGCUGCACAUGAGUGGUACAGACAGCCGGAGCCAGCUCUUAAACACUGGCCCUCCUGCUCCUACUCCUGACUGGCAAGGGUGAGAACUGUCACCCUUCUUCAUUGUUUGGAUCAUAGAGACACAGUGUUCUUUCUGUGCGCCAGGCCUCUUCGAGCUGAAAGUGCCCCUGAGAAGCUCUUGUCUUCCUGGCCUGAGCAGAUGAGGAUUCUCAGUGAGCAGAGCAGGACAGGGGCUUCCCCUCACAGUGUCUGAACCACUAGCUGUCCUUAAAAUAUGCACAAUGCUCUCCACGCUUACUGUUUCUGUGUAGAGCUGUGACUAUAUUCACUUACAUAUUUAUUGAUUUAAUUUAGACAAGGUCUCACUAUGUAGCCCUGGAUGGCACUAAACUGACCAGAUCUGGUUUUGAACUCACAGAGAUCCACUUACCUCUGUCUCCCAAGUGCUGGCAUUAAAGGCCUGGGUCACCACCAUACCACAUGUAUUUUAACUGAGGCAGUUAGUUAUGACUGGAUUCCUGUCCGGCCCUCCUCUAAGAAUAGAGUGGGCAGACAGCAGAUAGGACUUACUUUAUUGUCAGUCCCUGUUGACAGUUCAGGACUGACAACUUGAAACAAGGCAGAUAGCAACACGGGAUGGGCGUGAUGCUGGACUCAGGGCUGGCAUCCUGGAUCUAUUACAUAAAAACCUCUGGCAGGUAUGGGUGCCGUUCAAGAGCCGCCCUCCUGAAUAAGUCGCGGCUGUGAGAAGUGCGUCCUCGGAUGUCUGUAGGCUGGAAACUACUGUAGCAAUACUACUAGACACCAGACUUGGAGUCUGGAGGCAGAGGCAGUCAGUCCAGAGGAUAGCUUGGGCAAGCUAAGGACUUUCUCCUCUUUUACAUUUUUUUUCUUUUUUUUUUUUUUUCGGAGCUGGGGACCGAACCCAGGGCCUUGCGCUUGCUAGGCAAGCGCUCUACCGCUGAGCUAAAUCCCCAACCCCCUCUUUUAAAUUCUAAUGCACUGUCUUAGUUGGGGUUUCCAUUGCUGUGAAGAGACACCAUGACCAAGGCAACUCUUAUAAGGACCAGCAUCAGAGGUUCAGACCAUUAUCAUGACGGCAGGAAGCAUGGCAGCAUCCAGGCAGGCACGGCUGGAGAUGCUAAGAGCUCUACAUACAUCUGGAACCAAAGGCAGUCAGAAGGAGACUGACUCAUUUUCACUUCUGCAGUCAGCGAGGAGGAGGCUCUCUUCUCCAUUGGAGGAAGCUUGGGCAUAGGACCUCAAAGCCCAUUGCUACAGUGAUGUACUUCCUCCAACAAGGCCACACCCACUCCAACAAGGCCACACCCACUCCAACAAGGCCACACCCACUCCAACAAGGCCACACCCACUCCAACAAGGCCAUACAUCCUAAUAGUAGCCUCUGCUGUUGAUGCCUCUCCAUCAGUUCUGGUCUGGUGGUCCCUGCAGACCUGCUGCCACCCGCUUUCCUGCUUCCUUUGGCAGGGUGCGCUCUGUGGCUGCUCCUCCUGUACGAUCUGUUGUUAACGGUCUGCUUCCUGGGAUGUCAGGACAGUCAGGGAGCUCUGUACUGGGGUCCCCAUAUGCUGCUAGGAAAACCACAAUACAAAUCAAAUGGUAAACGUUUGGAAAAGUGUAAAGUUAGGAGUUAAUGUGGUGGAAGAAGCAGCCAGGACUAGUGAGAUGGCUUAGCUGGUAAGGGUGCUUUUAGAACAAGCCUAAAGACCUGAGUUCCAUAGUUCCAUCCCUAGAAUCCAUGGUAGAAGAGAAUCCACUUCCAAAAGUUGUACUCUUGUGUGCCUGCACUCAUAUACACAAAUCACACACACACACACACACACACACACACACACACACACACAAAGAAAUAAUCAAACUAAAACUAAAAUAAAAUUUAGUAGAUCAAAAGCCUGUGGCUUGGGAGAUCAUAGACUCCAGGGGCAGCCUCCACAUGCCGUUAAAUUGCCAAAUAUUUAUAGUUAUGCCCGUGGAUUACUGCUGUUCUCAGCCUGCAGUGGACAGCAGUUAAUACAGAGACUGGUAAGUGGGCAGAGUGUGGAGAAUGAGUCACAGUUGAGUGUUCAGCCCUAAAUGAGACCGCUAUACCACACUUGCUCCACAGAGGCUCAGGGAGCCUCCUGGGGAAGAGGCAGAAAGGGUUAAGAACUGGGGGAUGGAGAGGAGGCUAUGAGACACUGACUUCUGACAUGGCACGGUGUCUUAGUUAUGGCUCUACUGCAAUAGCAACAAUUGCUCUGAACUGCUGAGCCAUCUCUCCAGCCCCUAAAAAAUAUUCUUAGAGAUUUGUGGGAAAAAAGCAUCAUCAUCAUCAUCAUCAUCAUCAUCAUCAUCAUCAUCAUCGUCAUCGUCGUCAUCGUCGUCGUCAUCAUCAUCAUCAUCAUCAUCAUCAAGGGACUGAGCGGUACGUGGGGUGUAUUUCAUAGGCGCAAACUCCCAAAGCAUCUGCUCUCCAGACUGCACACAUCAGAGGUAAGGCUAGCGAGGGGAAGAACCGAGAGGGAUAACGGACAUGCCAAGGCUGGCUCUGCCUGGCCGGAGAGGGAAGACUGGUCAGAACAUCCUGAUCUUACUGUGGGCAUUCAUAGCGUGUGUGUGUGUGUGUGUGUGUGUGUGUGUGUGUGUAAUGGAGUUCACAAUACAAUAAACCUGUAAAUUAUAUUUUAAGAUCUUGAAGAAAAGAGAUAAAAGUUUAUAGAUAAGACUCAGUUCCUUUCUUUUUCUAUCUCUUUUUUUCUUUCUUUGAGUUAGGUUCUUAUAUAGCCCAAGCUGGCCUUGAACUCACUAUGUAGUUGGCUCCAGUCAGUACCUGGAGCUCCCGAUCAUUCUACCUGCUGCUCCCUUUGCUGGGUUAUUAGUGCGUGCUGCCAGUCCUGCCUCUCGCUCCCUUUGGUUAGUCUCCUCAGGCUCCUUUCUUAGUCUUGGUUCUCUGUCUGCUUCUGUAGAUGUAAGCCCCGUCUCAGGAGUAUUCAUCGGGAACUUAGAGACGUAAAUAUAGAUGCGUCUCUGAGACCAUCGUAGGCAGCCAGGCGUGCGGACACGAUCCAGAGUCUGCACUCAGGAGGUAGAGGCAGGAGGAUAAAUAGUUCAAAGUCAUAAUUGGCUAUAAAGCAAAUUCAGAAUCAGCCUGGGUCACAUGGUAACCUGUCUGCCAAAAAAAAAAAGUAAUUUUAGGGGUAUUCUUGGCUAAAAAUAAGGGACUGAAACCAGGUUGUCAGGCUGAGCACUAAGUGCCUUUUCAGCCAAGCCAUCCUGUCAGCCUAUGUUUUGGUUCUUUGAGGCAGGGUCUCAAGUAGCCCAGGCUGGCUACAAUUUGCUGUACAGCUAAGACUGACCUUGAACUUUUGUUCUUCUGGCCUCUGCCUUCCAACUGUUCAGAUUAUAAGGGUGUGCCUUCGUGCUGCACCGACUUUCCCUUCCUUAUUUUAGGCAUGACAGUCGCCUCUGUUCUCUGAAGGAAAUGUCAAAUAAAGCUGGUAUUAGUCUCUGAACACAGAACCAGAAAUAAAGCCCAAGGAAGAAAUCCUACGUGAGGCUUUCCACUGUUUAAAAAUUUCCCUCUGGAAACAAAACAGCUUAUGACUGACAGACACAGGCUCUUUGUCUUUAAAUAAAGCAUUUUAUUAUUGUAUAUGUAUUUUGUCUGCAUGUGUGUCUGUGUAUCGUGUGCAUGCCUGCUGCCCUUGGAGGCCAGAAGAAGACAGCAGAUCCCCUGGAACUGGAGUUAUUUGCUGCUUAUGAACCAAAAGUGAGUGUUGGAAACUGAACCUGGUCCGUCUGGAAGAGCAGCCAGUAACUUAAUGGCUGAGCCAUCUCCCCAGGCCCACUCCCACACGUGUUCUUAUGUGCUUUGUAAAGUCUUUAUUUCUCAGAUAAAGAAAACUACAACAAGCAGGGCUGGGUGGUGGUGGCAUGUAUCUUUAAUCCCAGCACUAAGGAGGCAGGAGCAGGUGGAUCUGGUCUACAGAGCGAGUUCCAGGACAGCCAGGGCCACAUACAGAAACCCUGUCUAGAAAAAACAAAACAAAACAAAACCCAAAACAGAUGAACAAAACCACCACCGACAAAAAAGUCUUCUUUUAUUGAUCUGGUGCCUCAGCUUCAAGGUGGGGUGCUCAAGGGCCCCAGCACACCUGUCUUCUUAUCAUGAAUGAUGAACAGCGUGUGCUCCUCAGAUUUGCCUUUUUUUUUUUUUUUUUUUUUUUUCGGAGCUGGGGACCGAACCCAGGGCCUUGCGCUUCCUAGGUAAGCGCUCUAACCACUGAGCUAAAUCCCCAGCCCCCAGAUUUGCCUUUUAAAUAUAAGUAGACGUCUUGUCACCCACUUCAUUUUAUACCCAGAACUACUCACCUUGCUAGAGAGUAUUUGUACGGAGCCUUUUUGGGGGUUUGGGGGAUAGGAUAGGGUCUCACGUAGCCUGGCUGGCUUCAAACUUUCUAUGACCCUCUAAUACACACCUUUGACCUGUGAGCCCCCAAUCCUCAGGCCUCCCCCUCCCACGUGCAGGGUGACAGUUUGGUGCCACCCUACCGGCUCUGUAUAGAGGCUCUUUAGAGGUCCGUACAUUCUCGAACACCGAGGCCUCUCCCAGCCUUUCACUACAGCACAUGAUGUUGCAUCAGAACACCGAGUUCCCUGCACGCUCGGGAGUGUGUCUGCAAUGGGAACUGGGCACAGGACUUGCUGAAUCACAGGCUAGACGCCGCUCUUGAACAGAUGCUGGCAGGUUGCCUCCCAAAGUGGCUCUUCCAGUGCUCAUUCCUACCUUCUGCACAAUGACAGCACUCAGUGUCUCUCAGCUUUCCAUAUUAAAAGCCCUUCCUGGCAGCUGAACAGGAGGGAAAGGUUGUCUUGUUUUGGUGCACAUUCUCCUGAUGACAGGAGAGGCUGUUUGUGGCUCCUUUGUUGUGACUGAUGUCUUUUUAUCCUUGGGUUACCUUACGUAUUCUGAGGUUGACUCGUGGAUCUUCCCUCCACAAAAGUCCCAUCCUCCUGAUACAGGGAGGGGGCCUCAGUCACAUAGAUGCCUCUGCUCUUGGUCUGAGACAAGCCUCUGGAAAAGCAAUGGACCUGUCCUUUUUCUCUCUUAGCAACUAUGGAGGCUUCAGCCCUAACUGACUGGUGUGUUCCUCACCUCACUCGUCAGGUGACAGUGGGGACUUGGGUGGCUCCCAGCUCCUGCUUAGUGCUUGACGUCUUCCUUAAGACUGUACCAACUUCAGCUCAGAUGGGAGGGAUCUUUUGUGCGGUCUUUUUUAUUGAGAUAAAACAAGCGUUAGGGUGAGUGUGUGUGAGUGAGUGAGUGAGUGUGUGUGUAUAUUGUGUGUCUUUGUAUGCAUGUGUGUUAUUGGAACAGAGCCUAGGGCCUUACAUUUCUAGGCUAAUGGUCCAAGGAUAUAGCUGAGUAGCAGAAUAUUUACCUAAUGUGCUCCAGGCCCUGGGUUCAGUUUCAGAACCUCACUCUUCUCAUGGCUGAGUAAUAUUCCAUUGUAUGGAUCUUAAUUUUUUUUUUUUACCCUUAAUACUAUUAGAGGGUUUGGGGCUAUAGGUCAGUAGAAGAUUGCUUGCUUCAUGGUCUGGUUUGUUUUCUGUUUCUUUGGUAAACACCAUGACAAAAGGCAACUUGGGGGAAGAAAUGGAAACCAAGGCAGGAACAGAAACAAAUUUGGGGGGCCAGGGGGUGUUGAAAGGGACACUGCUUACUGGGUUGCUCCUGUGACUUGUUCAACUACCUUCUUAUACAGCCCAUGGGCAGGCAUAGCACCUCCCCCAGUGGGCUGGGCCCUCCGUAUCUGCUAGCAGUUAAGAAAAUGCCUACAGCCAGGCCCGUAGGUCUUCAGUUGAGAUUCCUUCUCCCCAUGUAUGUCUAGGUUUGUGUCAAGUUCACAAAACUAGCCUGCCUUGACAUCUAGAACACAUAAGGCCCCAGGUUCAAUUCUUUUACUGCCAAGCAAAAAUAUUAAAAAACAAAACCCACAAUGCUGUGAACAGAACAGAAACACAUACAGGCUUUCGUGCGGAUGUGUUUUUAACUCUCUUGAGACCGCCUGAAGGAAUCGCUGGCUCAUGCGGUCUGUGAGUCCCUUUUCUCGUUGCCACCAUCAAAUGCUGACCCAAAGCAACGUAAGGGAGGACGGGCUUACAGGUCAAGGGGAUGAGUUAGUGAGGAGGUAGCCCGUCCCUCUGCACGGCUGUCAGGAAGAGCAAGAGCUCGGUGCUGGGACCCUCCAUGGGAUGGCGCCACCCACAUUUAGGGCUGGUCUUCCUCCCUGUGUCAGCUACUUUUCUCUUGCCGUGGUAAACCAGUGUGACCCAGGGGACUUAGAGAAGGAAGGAUUUAUUGGGGCUUAUGGUUCCAGAGGUUUAGGGUCCAUAAAGGCAGAGGCAGUCUUGGCAGCCAGAGGUGAAAGCUGAGAGCCAAAGACUCCAUCACUCACCACAAACUGCAAUCAGAAGGGUGUGGAGGGGACUGGGAAGGGAGAGUGGCUUGUAAACCUCAAAGCCUGCCCUGCCCCCAAGAGUGACAUAUUUCCUCUACCAAGGCUGCACUUCCUAAUCCUCCUCAAACAGCACCAUCAACUGGGGACUGAGUAUUCAAACACCUAACCCUGUGGGAUACUUCUCAUUCAAACCACCUCAGUUAAUCCGAUCUAAAAACUCUCAGAAAUAUGUUCAGAGAUUCUCCUCCUAAGGGAUUCUAGGUCGAGUUCAGUGUCGGCCAUUACAAGCCCAGCCCUUGACAAAGUGACACCCAGAUAGAUCACUUUCAGGCCAAGACGUUCCAUCUUUUGCCCUAUAAUCACAAAAGUCCAAAGUUUCUCCUGUUUAAUUAAAAAAAAAGUUAUGGGGUUGGGGAUUUAGCUCAGUGGUAGAGCGCUUGCCUAGCAAGCGCAAGGCCCUGGGUUUGAUCCCCAGCUCCGAAAAAAAAGAAAAAAGAAAAGAAAAAAAAAGUUAUAAGCUUCCGGUACACAAUGGCACAUAAUGAAUAUUCCACUUCACGAGGAGGAACGGGGACAUAGCAAGGAAUGAUCAGACCGAAGCAGGACCAAAGCUCGGCGUGCAGCAGUAUGGCGGCAGACAGCAACUCCUGUCUCUCUGUACCGGGCGUCAAGGGUUCCUGAGGCUCCAAACAUUUGGGUAGCCUCCCUGAUGUCCACAGCACUGCGUGUAGUGCUCCAGUGCCCCUUGGUCCAACCUCCUCAUGUCCAUGUGAUCUUCCUGGUAUGAACAAAGAUAUUCUAAGGAAACACACACCCUUUCCCCUCUUAUCGGCUACCAGACUGUAGAUGGUGGCUCCCCAAGAAACUGAAAUUUCCCAUGAAUCUCAUACCUGCGAAGGAAGACUAAAGCCUGGUGCCAGGCAGAAGAGGAACAUAGUUUUGGGAACGAGAUCUCACACAUUUCUGAGAACUUGUCAGACCAUCUUGCAGGGGAGAUUGGAGACAGCGAUGGGUGGGGCAGCAUCUUGAUCAGGACCGGCUUCUCUAGUUAAGUCUGAACCUCGCAUCAGGACUACAAAACUAGACCUGGGUGUCGCUGAAACUCUGCUCUUCUUUCUAAUGUGGCCACAUUGAGUCAACCUCCCUGUUGUUCUUUUCAUGAUUACUUGUGAAUUUAAUUGGCCUGUGGGUUGGUAGGCAAGCCUAGGUUGUUAGGACUGCCAGGGCUCAGGUUCUGAUAAGCCAUGGCCAGGAGAAGACAUAUUGUGGGCAUUACCCACUUGAGCCCCAUUGAGGUAAAUAUUAUUAUUAUUUUUUAAAAUAGGGUUUGUUUGUUUAUUUAUUUUUUUAGAAUUAUUUAUUAUAUAUGAGUACACUGUAGCUGUCUUCAGACACACCAGAAGAGGGCAUCUCAUUACAGAUGGUUGUGAGCCACCAUGUGGUUGCUGGGAAUUGAACUCAGGACCUCUGGAAGAGCAGUCAGUGCUCUUAACCACUGAGCCAUCUUUCCAGCCCUGAGGUAAAUAUUAUAAAUGGAGAAUUUUACCAUCCCGCACUAUUCCCAGCUCUGGUAGGCCAUGUGGCAUGGGCGGACUAUUUUCACCUUAGUCAGCAAAGCAUCUCACCCGCUAAGCUCCUAAUCUCCAUCCCACGUUGCCGCCAGCUACUGUCUGAGCCCGGCAGCAGCCUCUCCAUCCUUCUAGUUCCCAAGGCAGGCAGGUCACCACCACACCAGUUUCAUACAGAGACCGCCUAUCUCGAGGCUCUGUUACUGCAAACUCUGCUCACGUUCCCAGCAUCUGCCCCCUGUCACAACUCCCAGUUUUCCAUUAAAAUCAAAACUCAAUAAGCUUGUAAUUCAGCAAUCAGAUGUACAUCUUAAAUUCUCAAUCCACAAAACGUCCACAUAAUAAACUCACAACCAAUUGAUAAUGACAUAACCGCCCACCUAGAUAAGACAAAUUGUCCUAUAAAAAUCCAUCCCUUAAGAAAUAUUCAUAGCUACCUGUGGCCAUUUAAGGCCGCACGGAUCUGGGUCGUCUUUCUCUGCCUCCAUCUUGGUUCGCUUCCCUUCUUUUUCUUCUCUCCCACCUUACAAAAACUCUGUCCACGCCUUACUUUUUUCUCACUGCCCAAUCACCGGCCUGCCUUAUCUUGUGCCAGCCGUCACCUGCAUAUAGACACGAACCUUCAAACCCCAGAUGGAGAAGAAACAUUAACCAGUCACACUCAGUGUCUGAAGCCAUUUUAUUUUCUUAUCUUUC